CAGCUUCAUCAUUCUGAAUGUGUUUCCACUGCAGAUAAUACUUUGCUCUGCUGUGAAGCUCUUUCGCAGGGCAAAGAAGGAUACAACCAUCGGAGAGCUGAAUAAAUCCUAUUCUGACAUCUGUAAGACUGCACUAGUUCCCCAGGCUAGCAUGUUGGAAUUCUCAAACAUGUGCAGAGUGCUUAGUGACCAGGGGCUUCUCAAACUUGG